rnacentral:rRNA from 1 species
AACGAACGCUGGCGGCAUGCCUAACACAUGCAAGUCGAACGAGACCUUCGGGCCUAGCGGCGCACGGGUGCGUAACGCGUGGGAACCUGCCCUUAGGUUCGGAAUAACUCCCCGAAAGGGGUGCUAAUACCGGAUAAUGUCUUCGGACCAAAGAUUUAUCGCCUUUGGAUGGGCCCGCGUUGGAUUAGCUAGUUGGUAGGGUAAAAGCCUACCAAGGCGACGAUCCAUAGCUGGUCUGAGAGGAUGAUCAGCCACACUGGGACUGAGACACGGCCCAGACUCCUACGGGAGGCAGCAGUGGGGAAUAUUGGACAAUGGGCGAAAGCCUGAUCCAGCAAUGCCGCGUGAGUGAUGAAGGCCUUAGGGUUGUAAAGCUCUUUUACCCGGGAUGAUAAUGACAGUACCGGGAGAAUAAGCUCCGGCUAACUCCGUG